AAGGAUCAUUACUGAAUUGUCAAACGGGUUGUUGCUGGCCCUCAUAGGGGGCAUGUGCACGCUCUGUUUACACAUCCACUCACACCUGUGCACCCUCUGUAGUUCUAUGGUCUGGGGGACCCUGUCUUCCUUCUGUGGUUCUACGUCUUUACACACACACUGUAAUAAAGUUUUAUGGAAUGUACAUCGCGUCUAACGCAAUACAAUACAACUUUCAGCAACGGAUCUCUUGGCUCUCGCAUCGAUGAAGAACGCAGCGAAAUGCGAUAAGUAAUGUGAAUUGCAGAAUUCAGUGAAUCAUCGAAUCUUUGAACGCACCUUGCGCCCCUUGGCUAUUCCGAGGGGCAUGCCUGUUUGAGUAUCAUGAACACCUCAACUCUCAUGGUUUGCCAUGAUGAGUUGGACUCUGGGGGUUUUGCUGGCCUGUGGUCGGCUCCUCUCAAAUUAAUCAGCCUCCCAGUGUUUGGUGGCAUCACGGGUGUGAUAAAUAUCUACGCUCGCUGUUGUCUGCCAGGUAACCUUUGGUCACAAAGGUUUGCUGGAGCUCACAGAUGUCUCUCCUCAGCGAGGACAGCUUUUUUAACGUUCGAUCUCAAAUCAGGUAGGACUACCCGCUGAACUUAA
rnacentral:sRNA from 1 species